UACAGAGGUCCCAAGCGUUGUUCGGAUUCACUGGGCGUAAAGGGUGCGUAGGCGGUUGGGUAAGUCUGUCGUGAAAUCUCCGAGCCUAACUCGGAAACUGCGUCGGAUACUAUUCAACUCGAGGAAUGGAGGGGAGACUGGAAUUCUCGGUGUAGCAGUGAAAUGCGUAGAUAUCGGGAGGAACAUCAGUGGCGAAGGCGGCCUUCUGGUCCAGUACUGACACUCAAGUGCGAAAGCGUGGGGAGCAAACAGG
rnacentral:rRNA from 1 species